rnacentral:rRNA from 1 species
GACGAACGCUGGCGGCGUGCUUAACACAUGCAAGUCGAACGGAAAGGCCCUGCUUUUGUGGGGUGCUCGAGUGGCGAACGGGUGAGUAACACGUGAGUAACCUGCCCUUGACUUUGGGAUAACUUCAGGAAACUGGGGCUAAUACCGGAUAGGAGCUCCUGCUGCAUGGUGGGGGUUGGAAAGUUUCGGCGGUUGGGGAUGGACUCGCGGCUUAUCAGCUUGUUGGUGGGGUAGUGGCUUACCAAGGCUUUGACGGGUAGCCGGCCUGAGAGGGUGACCGGCAACAUGGGGACUGGGAUACGGCCCAGCCUCCAACGGGAGGAAGCGGUGGGGAUUAUUGCACAUUGGGCGGAAGCCGGAGGCAGCAACGCCGCGUGGGGGAUGACGGCCUUCGGGUUGUAACCCGUUUUCGCCUGUGCCGAAGCGUGAGUGACGGUAAUGGGUAAAGAGCACCGGCUAACUACGUG